GUGGGGUUGGCAGAGCAGUUAUGCGCUCGGCUGCAGACCGAGAAAGGGGGGUGCAACUCCCUCACCCCACUC
rnacentral:tRNA from 1 species